AGGGGCUGGCUUUCCUCUGGU
rnacentral:miRNA from 7 species